UACAGAGACUGCGAGCGUUAUUCGGAUUCACUGGGCGUAAAGGGUGCGCAGGCGGCCAAGUGUGUGAGGCGUGAAAGCCUGGAGCUUAACUCCAGAAUUGCACCUCAAACUACAUGGCUAGAGCAUUGGAGAGGGUAGCAGAAUUCACGGUGUAGCAGUGAAAUGCGUAGAUAUCUAAAGGAACACCAAUGGCGAAGGCAGCUUACUGGGCCAUUUCUGACACUAAGAUGCGAAAGCGUGGGGAGCAAACGGG
rnacentral:rRNA from 1 species